GGCCCCGUAGCUCAGCAGGAUAGAGCAUCAGAUUCCUAAUCUGAGGGUCGCAGGUUCGAAUCCUGCCGGGGUCGCCA
rnacentral:tRNA from 1 species